GAUAAACGCUGGCGGCGUGCUUAACACAUGCAAGUCGAACGGAAGAAUAUGAAGGUUUACCUGAUUAUUCUUUAGUGGCGGACGGGUGAGUAACGCGUGGGCAACCUACCUUGUACAGGGGGAUAACAACGGGAAACUGUUGCUAAUACCGCAUAAGACUACGGUAUCGAGUGAUACAGUAGUAAAAACUGAGGUGGUACAAGAAGGGCCCGCGUCUGAUUAGCUAGUUGGAGAGGUAACGGCUCACCAAGGCGAUGAUCAGUAGCCGACCUGAGAGGGUGUACGGCCACACUGGAACUGAGAGACGGUCCAGACUCCUACGGGAGGCAGCAGUGGGGAAUAUUGCACAAUGGGGGAAACCCUGAUGCAGCAACGCCGUGUGAAGGAUGAAGGAUUUCGGUUCGUAACUUCUAUCGAUGGUGAAGAAAAAAAUGACAGUAGCCAAGUAAGAAGCCCCGGCUAACUAUGUGCCAGCAGCCGCCGUAACAC
rnacentral:rRNA from 1 species